GAUGAACGCUGGCGGCGUGCCUAAUACAUGCAAGUCGAGCGAACAGACGAGGAGCUUGCUCCUCUGACGUUAGCGGUGGACGGGUGAGUAACACGUGGAUAACCUACCUAUAAGACUGGGAUAACUUCGGGAAACCGGAGCUAAUACCGGAUAACAUGUUGAACCGCAUGGUUCAACAGUGAAAGACGGUCUUGCUGUCACUGAUAGAUGGAUCCGCGCCGCAUUAGCUAGUUGGUAAGGUAACGGCUUACCAAGGCAACGAUGCGUAGCCGACCUGCGAGGGUGAUCGGCCACACUGGAACUGAGACACGGUCCAGACUCCUACGGGAGGCAGCAGUAGGGAAUCUUCCGCAAUGGGCGAAAGCCUGACGGAGCAACGUCGCGUGAGUGAAGAAGGUCUUCGGAUCGUAAAACUCUGUUAUUAGGGAAGAACAAAUGUGUAAGUAACUAUGCACGUCUUGACGGUACCUAAUCAGAAAGCCACGGCUAACUACGUGCCAGCCGCCGCAGUAA
rnacentral:rRNA from 1 species